rnacentral:rRNA from 1 species
AAACCAACAGGGAUUGCCUUAGUAGCGGCGAGUGAAGCGGCAAAAGCUCAAAUUUGAAAUCUGGCACUUUCAGUGUCCGAGUUGUAAUUUGAAGAAGGUAUCUUUGGGUCUGGCUCUUGUCUAUGUUUCUUGGAACAGAACGUCACAGAGGGUGAGAAUCCCGUGCGAUGAGAUGACCCAGACCUAUGUAAAGUUCCUUCGAAGAGUCGAGUUGUUUGGGAAUGCAGCUCUAAGUGGGUGGUAAAUUCCAUCUAAAGCUAAAUAUUGGCGAGAGACCGAUAGCGAACAAGUACAGUGAUGGAAAGAUGAAAAGAACUUUGAAAAGAGAGUGAAAAAGUACGUGAAAUUGUUGAAAGGGAAGGGCUUGAGAUCAGACUUGGUAUUUUGUAUGUUACUCUUUCGGGGGUGGCCUCUACAGUUUACCGGGCCAGCAUCAGUUUGGGCGGUAGGAGAAUUGCAAAGAAAUGUGGCACUGCCUCGGUAGUGUGUUAUAGUCUUUGUCGAUACUGCCAGCCUAGACUGAGGACUGCGGCUUCGGCCUAGGAUGUUGGCAUAAUGAUCUUAAGUCGC